UACGGAGGGUGCAAGCGUUAUCCGGAUUCACUGGGUUUAAAGGGUGCGUAGGCGGAUAGGUAAGUCCGUGGUGAAAUCCUGCAGCUUAACUGCAGAACUGCCAUGGAUACUAUCUAUCUUGAAUGUCGUGGAGGUUAGCGGAAUAUGUCAUGUAGCGGUGAAAUGCUUAGAUAUCGUCAAGAACACCUAUAGCGAAGGCAGCUUACUAGGCUGUAACUGACGCUGAGGCACGAAAGUGUGGGGAUCAAACAGG
rnacentral:rRNA from 1 species